rnacentral:lncRNA from 1 species
AUGGAGGCAGGUCUGACCCUCAUCCCCCUUCCUGGGCAUGACUUUUUGGACAUCCUGGAGGGAACAAGUGCUUCGGGGGCCUUCCCCCCCCCCCCCCUUAAAUCCCGCCGAUGUCAGCAUCGGGCUCAGCAGCUUUAUUGUGGGGAGACAAGCACUGAGCUGUCACGUGGCCUCUGCCAUUUCCUAAGAAACCAGCUUAAAAAAAAAAAAAAAAAAAAAAAAAAAAAAAAAAAAAAAAAAAAAGAAAAAAAAGAAAAAAAGAAAAAAGAAAAAAAGGAGAAAAAAAGAAAAAAGAAAAAAAAGGAGAAAAAAAGAAAAAAGAAAAAAAAGGAGAAAAAAAGAAAAAAGAAAAAAAAGGAGAAAAAAAAGAAAAAAGAAAAACAAAGGAAAAAAGAGGAAAAAAAGAGGAAAAAAAAAAAGGGAACCAAAAAAAGGAAAAAAAAAUUAAAACGGAAAGCCACCAGAGGGGGAGAGCAGAGGGCCGGAGAGCCCGGCAGCGACCAAGCACGACCACCGCACAACAAACACCCACAGGGACAAAAUUCCCGGGGAGCGCGGAGGUUAAAGCAAGCAGGAGGAACGGUCCCCGCUGGGCUGGCAUGGGUCACCCCACUGUGCCCCGUCCCCACGCUCGGCGGGACCCCACGGCAGCGGAGCAGUGACACCCUCCGCGGCGUGCGAUGCUCCCUCGAGGAGCUCGGCGUGCACCGCCAGCGUGAAAACACAGGCGUCUGGAAGGAAAAGUUUCUCUCCUUUUAUAUUGCAGAAAAAAAAAACCAGAGGGGGAUGGCUGUUGCAGCACAGCAAGGAAGGGGGAGAAUAAAGGAUCUGCUCCUGGGCAAAGCAGGGUGCUGCUUCAGUGACCCCAAAGACCUGCCUGGCCUGCAAACUUUAAAAAAAAAAAAAAAAAAAAAAAAAAAAAACCACAAAAAAACUAAACCCCAGAAAACUAAAGCAAGGACAAGCUCUUUUCACUACGUCAUUUUAAUUGUACUGACACCCAGAAAUACACAAAAGGAUACGUGCCAAGAGCCACCCAUCAAAGAGAGGCUUCCUUCCAUGGUGGGUCUUGCUUUCACACUUCUUUCACUCAAAAAAAAAAAAAAAAAAAAAAAAAAAAAAAAAAUAUAA